rnacentral:rRNA from 1 species
AACCAGCACCUCAAGUGGUCAGGAUGAUUAUUGGGCCUAAAGCAUCCGUAGCCGGCUCUGUAAGUUUUCGGUUAAAUCUGUACGCUUAACGUACAGGCUGCCGGGAAUACUGCAGAGCUAGGGAGUGGGAGAGGUAGACGGUACUCGGGAGGAAGUGGUAAAAUGCUUUGAUCUCUCGAUGACCACCUGUGGCGAAGGCGGUCUACCAGAACACGUCCGACGGUGAGGGAUGAAAGCUGGGGGAGCAAACCGGAUUAGAUACCCGGGUAGUCCCAGCUGUAAACUAUGCAAACUCAGUGAUGCAUUGGCUUGUGGCCAAUACAGUAUUGCAGGGAAGCCGUUAAGUUUGCCGCCUGGGAAGUACGUACGCAAGUAUGAAACUUAAAGGAAUUGGCGGGGGAGCACCACAAGGGGUGAAGCCUGCGGUUCAAUUGGAGUCAACGCCAGAAAUCUUACCCGGAGAGACAGCAGAAUGAAGGUCAAGCUGAAGACUUUACCAGACAAGCUGAGAGGUGGUGCAUGGCCGUCGCCAGCUCGUGCCGUGAGAUGUCCUGUUAAGUCAGGUAACGAGCGAGAUCCCUGCCUCUAGUUGCCACCAUUACUCUCAGGAGUAGUGGGGCGAAUUAGCGGGACCGCCGCAGUUAAUGCGGAGGAAGGAAGGGGCCACGGCAGGUCAGUAUGCCCCGAAACUCUGGGGCCACACGCGGGCUGCAAUGGUAAUGACAAUGGGUUCCAAAUCCGAAAGGAGGAGGUAAUCCCCAAACAUUACCACAGUUAUGACUGAGGGCUGCAACUCGCCCUCACGAAUAUGGAAUCCCUAGUAACUGCGUGUCAUUAUCGCGCGGUGAAUACGUCCCUGCUCCU